AUGGGUCAGUCGGUCGGUCCGGUUCCUGUCCGCUGUCCACGCCAGCCUGACAGCCGCGCGCUACGUUGUGUUCGCC
rnacentral:sRNA from 1 species